AGAUGGCCUUUAAAUGUCCCUUCCAAGCCAAGCCAUUCUGUGCUGCUGUGCACCAGUAGAGCAGUGCUGGAAUAAUGCUGGGGUGAUGAUGCUGGCACCUGUGUUUUGGUAGUUGUGCCAUUUAGCUGUUGGCCAAGAGAGGAUUGAUGGGCUGCACAGUGAAGUCUGCAAAGAACAGUGUGCUCAAGGAGAAACAGGAGAGGAACAGGGCUUCCAGCUCAGAUAAAUGCCAGCAUUUUGCUGCCCAUUUCUUGUUAAGAAAUAAAGCAAUGUUCUGAAGAUCCCUUCAGUGUGGGUGCACUAUUGGCUGUAUCAGUGCUUGUGUUCUGUAAAACAGGUGAGUUGUUACAGCUUCUUGCCCCAUUUACCACUGGAUAAAACCCAAAUACUGCAUUGCUCCAUGUCUCCUUUCUUCCAAGUAAAGGCAGAUUUUUGUUCAUUCUUCAGUGGGACAUAUUCAUCUGUUGACAAGCAAAUUCUUCUUGCCAUUCACACAAUGUUGAUUUGCUCUAAUCACAUUAUAAUUAAGACCUACCUCUCACUGUAAUUAAGGCUGAUGGAUUGUGAGGCAAAGUGUUGCAUCAUUUUCCCUGGAGAGAGUUUUUCUCUAAUUCAAUGACAUUUGAAGACAGCUGUAGCCUACCAUACUUCUGGCAUACUAGAAAUGAAAAAACAGCCAUGGAAACAGGCUGUUCUAUCCUUUCCUCCUCCUCCCUGAAGUCUGAGCUCUUCAGCUGCCUCACAAACAUUGUUUUAUUUCACACAGGCAUCCAUCAGGACAGUGGCUGUGAAGCUUGGAACAAUAUGCAGCCGGCACCACAAGACAUGCUCAGAAGAUCUGGGAGAGCAUGAGAAGAGUUUUCUACCAGGGAACACAUGGUUUGAUUAAGUUAAUGGCCACUGUGGCUGGUGGAGCACUUUUCCUGAUGAUGUGCUAUGCUGGAAUCUGGUAUUGCUGGAAGAGAAAACGGAGCACCUCUGCACCUUCAGAACAGCAGCCAAAGACUUUAAUCACCGAGAAGCUGACCUCUCAUCCCCACUCUUCACCUCUGUCUCCCUCUGCUCUGCUGCGGCUCCAUCCCCAUCUUGAGUGCGUCCCAAGACCCACACCUGCAAAGUGAGACCCUCUGCCCCUGAGCCUCCUGGCCCUGGUCCCUGGCCAGGACUGAAAUUGGGCAGCCCCUGUCCACCAGAGCAGGGCUUGGCCUAUGGUUUUUGUUCCAAUAAAGAGAUGGAGAUUUCACCUCAGUGUCUGGAUGGCACCACCAGCAAAGCCCUCAUGGCACCAGCCCCUGCUGAGCUCCAUGUCCAGGAGCAGCCAGGGGUGUCCACAGUGUGGACAGGCAGGAGCCAGGCAGGGGCUGCCAUGACCAGUGGUGGGGCCACGAGGGGCUGGGGGAGCCCAUGCUGAGCGUCCCUGGGCUGUGAGGGCACAUUUCCUUCAGUGGCAUCACCUGGGCCUGCACCUCAUGAGGCACCCAGGGCUAAUUUGGGCUCUCUGCUAAGGUGUGCAGGGAUCCCCCAUGAGGUGUGCAGUGGGGUUAAAUUGAGAGGGUUUUUUCCUCUUCUCAGCACAGCAAAGGGGACACUCUUGGCUGAGGUUUUGCAGAGCUGGGAGGAAGCCUCUUGCGAGCCCUUGGGCCCGGCCUGUGGGCACAGCGGGCAGGCAGAGCCCAUCCCUUGAGGCCAGUCCGGGCUGCUCGGGCCGGGCCGGGCCGGGCCAGGUGAGGGCCCCGGCAGGGAAGGGCCAUGGCCGUGGGCUCUGAUGAGGCUGCCGAGCUUCACCCUGGCCCUGUGCUGCAGCCAAACACACAUUUACAGCCACAGCCAUUCUCUGGGGCACAGGAGGCCCCCAGGGCUAGAACUGAGGCCAUGACUUCUCACCCUGAAGGGAGGCUGGCUCUCUUGGUUUGGAGGGCACAGCUUAGA